rnacentral:misc_RNA from 1 species
GGAAAUGCCAGUUCCACCAACUGACCUUGUUUGGCGAAGCUUGUUGGCUGCAUGUAAAAUCCAUGGCAAUCUGGAAAUUGGGAGGAAAGCUGCAGAAAAUCUCUUUAAACUGGAUCCAUCAGAUGAUUCAGCAUAUGUUCUUUAUUCAAAUGUCUGUGCAAGCACUGGGAGAUGGGAGGAUGUAGAGACUCUUAGGAGCCAAAUGGGAUCAAAUAACAUAAAGAAGAAACCUG